AUUUGAUUCUAAUGCAGAAGAAAAGGGUUUAAAAAAAAGAACUAUAAUUGUGAGGAAUCCAGAGAAAGCUGGACAGUCCUUAGGAAACCAUUCAAUGCGACUUCAGCAAGCAAGCAAAUAAGACUGCUUCCCAACAGGACCAGAGGAAUUGAGGGCCUCAAUAAUUAGAACUGUUGGUAUGGCGGAUGGAGAGCUGGACUUGGAAUCAGGGAUACAAUACGUGUGUUCAAAUCCUGUCUCUGGCCUUUCCCAGCUGGUGUGCUCCUGGCUCAAGUGUUCCAGCAGCUAGCCUGCUGGCAUAUGCCCAGAGGAGCUUCGCCAUUAUUCCACUUCCCAGCUGUCUGCAAAAAAUAGUCCUGAAGUGUCUCUUUCAUGGGUCUUAAAGGGAAUCUGACUCAGAACCAGAGAGUUUGAAAAAUGAUCUCUAUCUCUGCUGGGCACAAUGUCGGGCAACGCUUUUCCCUUCUUCUCCUUAUUAAAUUUUCUAGGCUAAAAAAUUGUGGAAAUGGACCGUGACGGAUAAACACAUACAUGCACACACUUGAACAGAAUGCUCUCAUAUGUGCCCAUGUGUGAUCUCUGGCAACUUAGCUUUCAUGAGUGAUGGUUGCUGAUCCAUAUAACUCCAAUUUUUUGAGCAAGAGAAAGAGAGAGAGACAGAGAGGAGAAAGAAGAGAGAGGAGGAGAAGGCUUAGUUACAUAAUUUGUAAAAAGUAGAUAAUAAUCACACUCCCUACCUCACUGGGUUCUGACAAGGCUGAGCCUGCCAACUUUAAAAAAACAAACAAACUGUAGAUGUUUUAUCAACACUAAUUAUCACCAAAUAGAAUAAGAGCCAUAUAGAUUAAGUGCCAUUUGAGAUCUGAAGAGAGGAGAAUUUGUAAUGGGGGAAAAUCAGGAAAGGCUUCCUGGAAGAGGUUGCAUUUGUUUUUGACUUAAGAAGGUGGCUAGAUCCCAAAAAGGCAGAAUUGGUAAGUCAAAGAACAAUCAUAAAAACAAAAAGGAAAAUUCAUCAAAGAAAAUAAAAAUAAGACAACUUACCGCA
rnacentral:lncRNA from 1 species